rfam:Lasius niger Lnig_2.1_9941, whole genome shotgun sequence.
CAAUCGGCCCUUUUUGGGGUCACACAUAUAUAAUCCAAAAACAAU